GCUCAGGCAUGUCAACGCUGGCAACACAUCUGGAUGAUACUGCAGAACAUGGUGCUGUGGAGAAAGAGCUAAAUUUGCUGGGAGUGGAGGAAAGGAGCGGGUCCAGUGUCAACACAAAAGCUCAGUCAGCGACCGUUAACACGCAUCCAGAUUCUCCCUUGAACAUGCUAGCUGACCAAGCGCUGGCACAGGGCCAGCUCUCCAAUAACUACAUUUCCCAAGAGCACCUUGCAGUGACUUCAGACUUGUCACUCCAGAACAUCUCUCCACCACCACAAAAGAAAAAGAAACCGUGUUCUGAAGUGUCAUCAGGAUUUGUUCCUGGACACAAACCCACUCUGGGAAAUAAGGCUGGUCUUCCUGGGAUCCCUCUGUUGCAUGCCCUGGGCUUUCCAAUCACUUCCUUUGGACCGGGAAUGCAGACCCAGCUGCAGCAUUCCAAAGAUGCCCCAGUCACCAGCCCUACAUCCGGAACGUUCCUCCAUGGACUCUCACAGUGGCAGCCAACUGGUGGGAGUGGGAUCAAACGCUGAGAGGAAAUUAAACUGAUCAAAUCCCUGGAACAGGAAUGGAGACCAGAAUCA
ensembl:lncRNA